rnacentral:rRNA from 1 species
CUUGGUGACUAUUGCGGAGCGAAACAGACCCGAUCCCAUCCCGAACUCGGCCGUCAAACGUUCCAGCGUCGAUGAUACUGCGUCCUAAGGCGCGGGAAAGUAGAUCGUCGCCAGGCCUGCCAAGGACAGGACAGAUGUCACCAACCCCAUCAUUCGAUCAGGAAGGCCUGAGCGUUCAGGCCGACAUGCGAUUCUGACGGACUGCCGCAUCAGCAGCCGGGGUGCUGUGAGAUGCCGUCACGUUGCGCAAGCGGUUUUCGCGAUCCGACAUGGCGCGGGCGGCGUCGGGAUGUGUGGCCUAUGCCGCCCGCGCCGUGU